UGGGCUUGACAUCCCACGAACCUGUGAAAGCAGGCCUUCUGGGCAACCAGGCAGGGAGACAGGUGGUGCAUGGCUGUCGUCAGCUCGUGUCGUGAGAUGUUGGGUUAAGUCCCGCAACGAGCGCAACCCUCGUCCUCUGUUGCCAUCAGGUUACGCUGGCACUCUGAGGAGACUGCCGGUGACAAACCGGAGGAAGGUGGGGAUGACGUCAAGUCAGCAUGGCCUUUAUGUCUGGGGCUACACACGUGCUACAAUGGCCGGUACAAAGGGUUGCCAAGCCGCGAGGCGGAGCGAAUCCCAAAAAACCGGUCCCAGUUCGGAUCGGAUGUCUGCAACUCGACUCCGUGAAGCCGGAAUCGCUAGUAACCGUGGAUCAGCCACGCCACGGUGAAUACGUUCCCGGGCCUUGUACACACCGCCCGUCAAGUCACGAAAGCUGGCUGUACUCGAAGUCGCUGAGAAUCUC
rnacentral:rRNA from 1 species